UACCGAGGGUGCAAGCGUUGUUCGGAAUUAUUGGGCGUAAAGGGAGUGUAGGCGGUUGGGAAAGUCUUCUGUGAAAUCUACGGGCUCAGCCUGUAACGUGCAGAGGAAACUACUCGGCUUGAGUGUCGGAGAGGAUAGGGGAAUACCCGGUGUAGAGGUGAAAUUCGUAGAGAUCGGGUGGAACACCAGUGGCGAAGGCGCCUGUCUGGCUGACAACUGACGCUGAGACUCGAAAGCAUGGGGAGCAAACAGG
rnacentral:rRNA from 1 species